UAAAGGAUUCCCCUAGUAACUGCGAGUGAAGAGGGAAGAGCUCAAAUUUGAAAUCUGGCGGUUCUUGCAGCCGUCCGAGUUGUAGUUUAGAGAAGUGCUAUCCGCGCUGGCCUGUGCAUAAGUUUCUUGGAAAAGAACAUCAUAGAGGGUGACAAUCCCGUCUUUGGCACAGAUCACCAGGGCUUUUGUGAUGCGCUCUCGACGAGUCGAGUUGUUUGGGAAUGCAGCUCUAAAUGGGUGGUAAAUUCCAUCUAAAGCUAAAUAUUGGCGAGAGACCGAUAGCGAACAAGUACCGUGAGGGAAAGAUGAAAAGAACUUUGAAAAGAGAGUUAAACAGUACGUGAAAUUGUUGAAAGGGAAACGCUUGAAGUCAGUCGCGUCUUCCAGGGAUCAAGUCGACUUUGUCGGCCGUACUUUCUGGUUGAUGGGUCAGCAUCAAUUUUGACCGCUGGAUAAAGGCCUUGGGAAUGUAGCAUCUUCGGAUGUGUUAUAGACCAGGGUUCGGAUACAGUGAUUGGGAUUGAGGAACUCAGUGUGCCCUUGUGGUUGGGGCAACUUGCCUACAUAGCGCACUUAGGAUGCUGGCAUAAUGGCUUUAAUCGACCCGUCUUGAAACACGGACCAAGGAGUCUAACAUGCCUGCGAGUAUUUGGGUGGAAAACCCAAAUGCGCAAUGAAAGUGAAAGUUGAGAUCUCUGUCAUGGAGAGCAUCGACGCCCGGACCAGACCUUCUGUGACGGAUCUGCGGUAGAGCAUGCAUGUUGGGACCCGAAAGAUGGUGAACUAUGCCUGAAUAGGGUGAAGCCAGAGGAAACUCUGGUGGAAGCUCGUAGCGAUUCUGACGUGCAAAUCGAUCGUCGAAUUUGGGUAUAGGGGCGAAAGACUAAUCGAACCAUUUUUGCUACUUGGUGGUUAAGAGGCACCUGAAAGGGUAAGCCUAGUGAGCAAUUGAGACUCGCGACACUGUCAAAUUGCGGGGACGUCCUAAAGCCUUCACUACUAAGCCAAUGUUGAAAAGCAUUGGUGGCCGAGUUAAUAGCCCUGGGUAUAGUAAAAAUGUGAAGGAUAUUACAAUGGAUAAUCCGCAGCCAAGUCCUAAGGGUUUUUGUAAUCUAUGGAUGCAGUUCACAGACUAAAUGGCAGUGGGUGUAGCAUUUUUGGUGCUAUGCUUAAGAUAUAGUCGGUCCUACCGUGAAAGCGGUCUGGCAGAGGAGGACUUGUCAUCUCUCAAUAUUAUUUGAUGCAAGUCCAGAGCUGCUGGGAGGCUCUUUGAAAGCUUGG
rnacentral:rRNA from 1 species